AUAACAAUACAGGACUCUUUACAGGCCCUGUAAUUGGAAUGAGUCCACUUUAAAUCCUUUAACGAGGAUCUAUUGGAGGGCAAGUCUGGUGCAGUGCAACUGACCCGUGCGUGCUGCAGCUGAAA